rnacentral:lncRNA from 1 species
CUGGCUGCUGCGGAUGCCAUCUUGCAUCUUUGCCACGUUACACUGGCCCCACCUAUUCCUGCAGAAGCUUGCGCUGCCUCUGCUGAGGAGCAGGACACAGGCACUGACAUGCAAGACUUCAAUGACACAAGUGGUGAACGCCAGAAGCAUCAUGUGCAAACACGUGACCAGUGGACACAGUGGGAAGCCAACCCGUAUGACGACCACACAUAUGUCCAGUAUCUGCCCAUUGGAUUCAGGGGAAAAUCAUUUGCUGAGUCUUUAACUGGAGAUGAUAUCACAUUUUAUACUGGCGUAUCCCAGAUAGUGUUUCAAAAGCUUGUGAAAGCGGUGUCUGCUUUGGCAAAGAAGCCAAGUGCCCUAACACGUGCUGACCAAUUAAUAAUGUGUCUAAUGAGGCUUCGCCUUGGGCUGCUGCAUGGACACCUUGCACGAAUUUUCAAGGUGUCUGUGUC